rnacentral:rRNA from 1 species
CUACGGGUGGCUCCAGUGGGGAAUUUUGCGCAAUGGGGGAAACCCUGACGCAGCAAUACCGCGUGAGUGAAGAAGGCCUUUGGGUCGUAAAGCUCUUUUCUUGGGGAAGAUAGUGACGGUACCCAAGGAAUAAGCACCGGCUAACUCCGUGCCAGCAGCCGCGGUAAUACGGAGGGUGCGAGCGUUGUUCGGAUUUACUGGGCGUAAAGGGCACGUAGGCGGCCUGGCAAGUUAAGGGUGAAAUCCCGGGGCUUAACUCCGGAACUGCUCUUAAAACUGCCAAGCUAGAGAUAGUCAGAGGCGGGUGGAAUUCCUGGUGUAGAGGUGAAAUUCGUAGAUAUCAGGAGGAACACCGGUGGCGAAGGCGGCCCGCUGGGGCUAUUCUGACGCUAAGGUGCGAAAGCGUGGGGAGCGAACGGGAUUAGAUACCCUCGUAGUC